GACGUAGGGCGCGAGCGUUGUCCGGAUUUAUUGGGCGUAAAGAGCUCGUAGGCGGUUUGUUGCGUCGGCUGUGAAAACCUGAGGCUCAACCUCAGGCCUGCAGUCGAUACGAGCAGACUAGAGUGUUGCAGGGGAGACUGGAAUUCCUGGUGUAGCGGUGAAAUGCGCAGAUAUCAGGAGGAACACCGGUGGCGAAGGGCGGGUCUCUGGGCAACAACUGACGCUGAGGAGCGAAAGCGUGGGGAGCGAACAGG
rnacentral:rRNA from 1 species